UACGAAGGUCCCAAGCGUUAUCCGGAUUUAUUGGGUUUAAAGGGUGCGUAGGCGGACUAUUAAGUCAGUGGUGAAAGCCCCAAGCUUAACUUGGGAACUGCCAUUGAUACUGAUGGUCUUGAGUACAUUUGAGGUGGGCGGAAUGUGUCAUGUAGCGGUGAAAUGCUUAGAUAUGACACAGAACACCGAUUGCGAAGGCAGCUCACUAAACUGUAACUGACGCUGAGGCACGAAAGCGUGGGGGGCAAACAGG
rnacentral:rRNA from 1 species